AUAGAAAAGGUUACCGCAGAGUGAGGAGGUGCUAUCACAAAAUAAAGGGGGAAGUUAGAAAGAAAAAAUAGGCAGGCUUGGUGUCUGUUUCAGAAGCCACGGGUUAGAGAUAAAUAUCUAACUGCGUGCAGACCCCCACAUCUUUCCACUGCCUCCUCCUCUUUGUCCUCCAACCAGCUACAUCCAUCCUUUAUUUCCCCACCGCCUUUUAUUGUUGUCUCCUCCUCCUCAACUCCUCCCCUCUCUGCAGGUCUUCCAGAAUAACAACAGCUGAUGAUGGGCAUGACUGAACUCGGCCGAGAGCAGCGCAGAGAGGCUGAAUUUGCCUCCUUUUUGGAUAUUUGUCUUGUGUUUUGCUAGGUGGUAAGUGAGCGAGUGUGUGCAUGAGUAUAUGUACUCCACCAGCACCCACAGCAGUGGUGGGAGGAGACAACAGUAAGCGUGUCCCCCCCUUCCUCCUCCUGCUCCUCCUCACUUCCUCCCUCCCCCCUUCUCUCGUUCUCAUGCUUCUUCUAAUUCAUUGCCACGGACAUCAGGAUCCGUUCUCGCUCUCUCGCCAUCAUUCUGCUUGAUUAUGCAAUGCACAGUCCUCCCACGAUGACUAACUGGUGUUGGAGACCCACCGACUGCUUUUGGUUUUCUACAGAAAUCUGCUCCAUUGGAAUUUACAGCUUUUCCUGCGCCUCUGGAAUAUCACCUGCCACAGAACGGUAAUUCGGAGAGCUGCAUGUUUUUACCAAGCUCAGAGGAAGCUUGGUGACAGAGAGACUCUUAUCAGUUCAUUCAGAAAAAAUAAUCACAUUGCUUGCAAGGCUUUUUUUAAAAUUUAUUUUUAAAGGCAUUCAUUGCUAAUAGAGGGCAGUUGAAAGCCGUGACAGGGAAAUCAAGAGAAGGAGCAGACGGUUAGUAUAGGAGUAAUUCAGGGGAGGUGGGAGGGAACAAAUGAGGAGAAGCCCUCUCCUCACCACUACGCAGAGGCUGCUGGUGCUUUAGCAGCAGCAAGGCAAACCUGCUGAUGAAAAAAAGAAAAAAAAAAACUGGCAAGACAAAGGGGAACUUGAUCAGAAGGGAAGUUGGUGGGUAGGGUUGCUGAACUUGACAGGUGGCGCUAUAGACAGGAGAAGGGGACAAGUGUCACAAGGAGGUUUUCAUUGGAAGCGUCGCUGAGCACUGAGAAGCUGUCGUGGCAUCACCGUCUCUCUCCGCCACUUGGUCUGUCGCUCAUAGGCACUGGAACAGUCUUCACCCAGCCUCCCCAACUCUUUUUUUUCUCCACAUGUAGAAUGCCCUUAAAGCCAUGGUUUUUCUGUGAGGACUCAAAAAGCAUGCCGGAUUACGAUGUCUUACACCUAAGGCGCCUUAGGAUAAGUGCCCCCUUGCCAGGUUAGGUGAAUUUCAGGACCAUGGGUACUACAGUCAUCACCCUUGAUGACGUGCGGGCACUGGAGCUCAAGGAGGAGCAGGAGGAGUCCAUACUGGCCAUGCUAGGCAUCAUUGGCACAUUUCUUAACCUGUUUGUAAUCGUUUUUGUUUAUAUAUACACCACACUGUGACAUACCAAAACUGAAGAAAAGGAUUUCUAAAUCAGAGAAAAUAUGCAAGAAAAACUGAAGUGAGCAGUAGUGAAGGACGGGGUUAAUUAGAAAGUCACAUAUGUUGGAGAAAGAAGUUUGAAAUGAAAGUCUAUCCCAGAGAGAGGAGAAGGGAAAUCAACAGACUGGUUAAAGAUGUAAACAAACAAGCCAUAUUGCCAAGCCACAGCCAUGAGCCGACAAGAUAACAAAGGGCUGGGAGACAUGGCAGGAACAGGACUAGGCUGGAACCAGGGUAAGCAGAGCCAGAUGGACAUCAUCAAGCCCCCAGCCAGGACUGACUCCCCCGUGUGGCCCAAGAGGAAAAACAAAAUUUCCCUAGAUCAGAUUUUUUUUGGACUGUUGUACUUACUGGAAAGAAGAAGUGUUGUAGAAAACUGAUAUAUUUUCUCUCUUUUUAAAUUCAAAACUUCUGGGACCAUAAUUGCUACUUGUCUGGAAGGAGUUUUCAACAAUAUGAUUAAAAGCAAAGUCUGUAAAGUGACAACUGGAAGCUGCUUCUGGAAACACUGCUGGUCACCUGUAAGUCUUCAGGGCCACAAAAUGUGUUUGAUUCAGGGCCCUUACAGUAAUACAAAUACAGCACUCUUCCUAAGCAAUGUGGCUGUACUCUAACAACAGCUUCCGACAGACCUGCAACUUCACAUAGUGUGUGCUACAAAUUCACACUAUACUGAGGUGUUCUAGAAGUGCUUCCCAACCCCAAAAAGUGUGAAUCUAUUUUUGAUAAUACACAGGUGUUACACAGCAGUCACAGUUGCAAGACAUUAAGGAAUGGGAUCAACUUGUAAUUAAACCAUGUAGUUUCCAUUUGAAAUGGGGCCUAUGCUCUAUAUUCUUUCUUCAUCUCUGUCCAUCUUUGUAAGUCGGUGAGCGUGAGUAAAAUGUGUCAGGUGCAGAGGGAGCGCAGAGGUCUCUUUAUUUAUUUGUUCAUAUUCAUUUCAGGGUAGUGUAGCAAUCAUUUUCCUGCAUUAAAAAGCUUUUGAUAAAUAUCUGAAUAACGUCUAGAUGUAUUGUGGAAUAGGGGACAUUUGAACAAUAAACACCCAAGAAUAACAAUAAGAACGAGCUUCCAGCCUCAUCUGUGAAACCCCCCAAGGUGUGUGCGUAGAAGGAUUCGUGUAUAUAACUUUACGUGAAUGGGAUCUAAUUACAACAAUGAUCACUGGUGGUGGCAUCUUACGUCUCACCCUUGCCCUGAUCCACUUCAAAGUGCUCAUCUACCCAUUUUAACUGCAAGGAGGGAAGUGUGUGGUAAUAGAAUCUACAAUUCCACGGGUGAGCAGCGAUAAACUGCAAAUUCGCAAAUCCACAGGGACAUUGUGGUAAUGAAUGAAGGUGGUGCUGUGGCGUAUUUAGCUUUCACCUUGUACUGAUGUCAAUAAUAUGCCUUGUGAUGUAGAAAAUCCUUGAAGUGUGUACAGGUUUGUAUAGAGAACAAAAGACUUUCUGUGCACAAGGUCAAGCAUUUGAUUCAAAAGCAUUGUUUUCCUUAGCCGGCUAUGAAAAAACAGUUAAAACAAAUGAGUGGACAAACUGUGAGGCCUAUGCAUUUGGAAAAAACAAAGGAACUGCUUUCUUUGCCACAUGAUGAACCACUACCGACCAUUAUUCUCCAACAUUAUGCUAAUGUUUAAUCAGCAGGCAUGAUGCACCAAAAUGGCCAUUAACUGCAUACAACAUGUUUUAACUUUAAAUCAUAUCUGUUUUAGACGAACUUGAAUUAAGAAGUAAGGUGGAAGGGACAUGUGUCAUUUCUAUUUAUGAAAUGCAUUCCAGAUAACUUAAUUCCAGUUUUGAGAUGUAUGCAGAGAUGACAAGGGGGGCAGGCAGUUAUAACAAAACAAAACAAAACAAAACAAAAC